rnacentral:lncRNA from 1 species
GAUAAUAGUGGCACAGUGGAUUGAGUACUGGACCUGGGAUCAGGAAGAGGAUCAAAUCUCAGCUGAGAAACUUACAUGUUGUAUGACCCUGGAGAAGUCAGUUGACCUUUCUUAGGUUCUCUUUAUUCAUCUGCAAAAGGCGAAUAAGGUGCUGAAUGAGAAAGACAAAAGCAAAAGGGAUCCUGCUCUCAAGAAACUUGGUUCUCCUGGUUAUUAUUUACAUAAGUUUGAGAUGCUGCUGCUGCUUAGGCUCCCACAUACUGAGAAGCUGUUCUUCUGUUUUAUUAUUUGAAGAGUGCAUAGCUUUACUUUGAGGGGAAAUUAAACUUGAAGUAGGACAUGAACUUGACAAAUACAGGGAAACCUGCAGGAGAG